AUACGGAGGGUGCAAGCGUUGUUCGGAAUCACUGGGCGUAAAAGGCGCGCAGGCGGUUUGAUUAGUCAGAUGUGAAAGCCUACGGCUUAACCGUGGAAGUGCAUUUGAAACCGUCAGACUUGAGUAUCAGAGGGGAAAGUGGAAUUCCCGGUGUAGAGGUGAAAUUCGUAGAUAUCGGGAGGAAUACCGGUGGCGAAGGCGACUUUCUGGCUGAAUACUGACGCUGAGGCGCGAAAGCGUGGGGAGCAAACAGGAUUAGAAACCCCAGUAGUCC
rnacentral:rRNA from 1 species